rnacentral:sRNA from 1 species
UACAAUAUAUGAAUCUUAUAUCUCAUAAUUAUUUUUCCGUAUGCUUAUAAAAAGAAAUUCAAGGUUUUAAAUGGAAUUACUUUUAUUUUGUAGAUGGACAAUCUAAAAUAUGUAAAUCAGUUGAAGAAGGAAAAUGAACGUGCCCAGGGGAAAAUGAAGUUGUUGAUCAAAUCCUGUAAACAGCUGGAAGAGGAAAAGGAGAUACUGCAGAAAGAACUCUCUCAACUUCAAGCUGCACAGGAGAAGCAGAAAACAGGUACUGUUAUGGAUACCAAGGUCGAUGAAUUAACAACUGAGAUCAAAGAAUUGAAAGAAACUCUUGAAGAAAAAACCAAGGAGGCAGAUGAAUACUUGGAUAAGUACUGUUCCUUGCUUAUAAGCCAUGAAAAGUUAGAGAAAGCUAAAGAGAUGUUAGAGACACAAGUGGCCCAUCUGUGUUCACAGCAAUCUAAACAAGAUUCCCGAGGGUCUCCUUUGCUAGAUCCAGUUGUUCCAGGACCAUCUCCAAUCCCUUCUGUUACUGAAAAGAGGUUAUCAUCUGGCCAAAAUAAAGCUUCAGGCAAGAGGCAAAGAUCCAGUGGAAUAUGGGAGAAUGGUAGAGGACCAACACCUGCUACCCCAGAGAGCUUUUCUAAAAAAAGCAAGAAAGCAGUCAUGAGUGGUAUUCACCCUGCAGAAGACAUGGAAGGUACUGAGUCUGAGCCAGAGGGACUUCCAGAAGUUGUAAAGAAAGG